rnacentral:rRNA from 1 species
AGUGAACGCUGGCGGUAGGCCUAACACAUGCAAGUCGAACGGCAGCACAGGAGAGCUUGCUCUCUGGGUGGCGAGUGGCGGACGGGUGAGGAAUACAUCGGAAUCUACUCUGUCGUGGGGGAUAACAUAGGGAAACUUACGCUAAUACCGCAUACGACCUACGGGUGAAAGCAGGGGAUCUUCGGACCUUGCGCGAUCGAAUGAGCCGAUGUCGGAUUAGCUAGUUGGCGGGGUAAAGGCCCACCAAGGCGACGAUCCGUAGCUGGUCUGAGAGGAUGGUCAGCCACAGUGGAACUGAGACACGGUCCAGACUCCUACGGGAGGCAGCAGUGGGGAAUAUUGGACAAUGGGCGCAAGCCUGAUCCAGCCAUACCGCGUGGGUGAAGAAGGCCUUCGGGUUGUAAAGCCCUUUUGUUGGGAAAGAAAUCCAGCUGGCUAAUACCCGGUUGGGAUGACGGUACCCAAAGAGUAAGCACCGGCUAACUUCGUGCCAGCAGCCGCCGUAA